AUGAAGAAGCUUCUUGGUAAUGGAUAUGGUUCUCUUAUAUUUGGUAGGAGGCAGAAAAAAUUCAGCAUGGAAAAUCACCACAUUCUACGUGGUGUAUUUAUGAUAGCUCUAAAUGAGUACUUCUGGACACCUGAUUGCUUCUCACUAGGAUGCCCUAUGCGGGAUUAUGGUGACUUCUUCAAAUCUGUGCAAGAUUUCUCCUCUUUAGCAUCACUGGAUUUUUUUAAAAUGCACUGA
rnacentral:rRNA from 1 species